rnacentral:rRNA from 1 species
UACGUAGGGUGCAGGCGUUAAUCGGAAUUACUGGGCGUAAAGCGUGCGCAGGCGGCUAUGCAAGACAGAUGUGAAAUCCCCGGGCUCAACCUGGGAACUGCAUUUGUGACUGCAUAGCUAGAGUACGGUAGAGGGGGAUGGAAUUCCGCGUGUAGCAGUGAAAUGCGUAGAUAUGCGGAGGAACACCGAUGGCGAAGGCAAUCCCCUGGACCUGUACUGACGCUCAUGCACGAAAGCGUGGGGAGCAAACAGG